rnacentral:rRNA from 1 species
GUCUACGGCCAUGCCACCCUGAACAAGCCCGAUGCCUGAUCUCAGAAGCUAAGCAAGGUCGGGCCUGGUUAGUACUUGGAUGGGAGACCACCUAGGAAGACCAGGUGCUAUAGGCA